UUGUUCUCAUUUUGGUAGCAAAUCUACUAAAACUGAAGCAAUACAGAGAAGAUUAACAUGGCCCUUGUUCAAAGAUGACAUGCAAAUUCUGGAAGCACUCAAUAUUUAU
ensembl:snRNA Gm22593 predicted gene, 22593